rnacentral:rRNA from 1 species
AUGCAAGUUGUGCGCCUCCUAGCCAUGUUGGAGACGCAGCGUACGGCUCCGUAACACGUAGUUAAUCUGCCCUUGGGACGGGAAUAAUCCUGGGAAACUGGGGCUAAUUCCCGAUAGGCGCAGUGGCCUAGAAUGGUACUGCACUCAAAAGGCUUUAAGAACAUGCUUUUGGAGCUGCCCAAGGAUGAGACUGCGGCCGAUCAGGUUGUUGGUGGGGUAACUGCCUACCAAGCCUAUAACCGGUACGGGCCCUGAGAGGGGGAGCCCGGAGAUGGGAACUGAGACAAGGUCCCAGGUCCUACGGGGCGCAGCAGGCGCGAAAACUCCGCAAUGCGCGAAUGCGUGACGGGGUUAUCCCGAGUGCCGUCCGAUGAGGAUGGCUUUUCUUCAGUUUAAGGAUCUGUAGGAAUAAAGGGGGGGCAAGACUGGUGUCAGCCGCCGCGGUAAUACCAGCCUCCUGAGUGGUGGGGACGAUUAUUUGGCCUAAAGCGUCCGUAGCCGGCUUAAGAAGUCUUUCGUUAAAUCCGACGAUUCAAUCGUUGGCCCGCGAGAGAUACUGUUAGGCUUGAGGGCGGGAGAGGUCGACGGUACUCCUUGGGUAGGGGUGAAAUCCUAUAAUCCUGGGAGGACCACCAGUGGCGAAAGGCGGUCGACUAGAACGUGCCUGACGGUGAUGGACGAAAGCUGGGGGAGCGAACCGGAUUAGACACCCGGGUAGUCCCAGCUGUAAACGAUGCGAGCUAGGUGUUGGAGCAACUACGAGUUGCCCCAGUGCCGCAGAGAGUUGUUAAGCUCGCGCCUGGGAAGUACGGCGCAAGCUGAAACUUAAGGAAUUGCGGGGAGCACCCACAGGGGUGAGCCUGCGUCAAUGAUCACGCCGG